UACGUAGGGUGCAAGCGUUGUCCGGAAUCAUUGGGCGUAAAGCGCGCGUAGGUGGCCAUUUAAGUCCGCUGUGAAAGUCAAAGGCUCAACCUUUGAAAGCCGGUGGAUACUGGAUGGCUAGAGUACGGAAGAGGAGAGUGGAAUUCCUGGUGUAGCGGUGAAAUGCGCAGAUAUCAGGAAGAACACCCGUGGCUAAGGCGGCUCUCGUAGACGGUACUGACGCUGAGACGCGAAAGCGUGGGGGAGCGAAACAGGG
rnacentral:rRNA from 1 species